rnacentral:miRNA from 1 species
CAGACCCUCCCUCCCAGACCCUCCCACCUCCUGGACAGCAUCCAUGUUGAAGGCAGCUUCAUGGAUGCUGUCCAGGAGGUGGGAGGGUCUGGGAGGGAGGGUCUG